rnacentral:rRNA from 1 species
AAUGAACGCUGGCGGCAGGCCUAACACAUGCAAGUCGAACGGAUCCUUCGGGAUUAGUGGCGGACGGGUGAGUAACGCGUGGGAACAUACCCAAAGGUACGGAAUAGCCUCGGGAAACUGGGAGUAAUACCAUAUGUGCUCGAAAGAGGAAAGAUUUAUCGCCUUUGGAUUGGCCCGCGUUGGAUUAGGUAGUUGGUGGGGUAAUGGCCUACCAAGCCGACGAUCCAUAGCUGGUUUGAGAGGAUGAUCAGCCACACUGGGACUGAGACACGGCCUAGACUCCUACGGGAGGCAGCAGUGGGGAAUCUUAGACAAUGGGGGAAACCCUGAUCUAGCCAUGCCGCGUGAUCGAUGAAGGCCUUAGGGUUGUAAAGAUCUUUCAGGUGGGAAGAUAAUGACUGUACCACCAGAAGGAGCCCCGGCUAACUCCGUGCCAGCCGCCGCAGUAA